rnacentral:lncRNA from 1 species
CUGUAGGGAGUUUUCUGAAAGAUUUUGAAAUCAGAAGUUAACCUCUUAUGUUGGGGUUUAUUAGAUAAAAUCCGUCUCUGACCACAGAAUUAUAUAGGUUCCUAUCACCCCCGCUUUCUGUUACUCAGGCAGGUGUUCAGCACCUAAAUGCCACUGUUUACCUGGGCCCAGCUGGCUCUGAUUCUGAAAAACAACUGAGUAAUAAUGCUGCAUUGACUAAGACUCCAGGAGCUGCAGCUCACCAGCUUCAAUAAUUUCAUCUAAAAACAAAUAAACCAGUGUAUUUUCUUGAUUAAAGGCAAACUUGAACCAUAAAGAUAAGAAAGAUACCUGUGUCCUUACAGUAUUCUUGCAUAUGAUACAUGAACUGGAAAAAGAGGUGUUGCAGGCUUGUGAUAGUGCAGCAAAGCAUGACACACUGGUACUGUAAACAAAGAUCAGUGAGUUGAAACCCCCUCUGAACCCCCUUUUCCAUAAAUAAGUUCCUCCCCCAUAAAUAAUUUUAGUGCAUACAACACAAAUUUAGGUCAUGUCAUUAUUGCUUCCCCUUCAUAAAGGAUGAUGUUCCUCUCAGUUGCUGCUYUCCGGCUUGCCCUUUUGCUUUGAAACGGGAGGUGACCUGAGGCACCUCGUCAUGAUGUGCAUGGCAUUCYACCUGGAGGUACAAAGUACUGCCAUCUUCAGCUGUUUGGCGUUCAGACACGGAGGGUCCCAGUCAUUUCCUUCUCCAGUGCCAGUGUUUGGAGCACCGGCUGAAGAUCAGAUAUGUCCCUGGCACUUAUGA